AACGGUCUAUACCUGCGGUACCUGCGGAGGGAUCAUUACCGAGUUUACAACUCCCAAACCCAAUGUGAACGUUACCAAACUGUUGCCUCGGCGGGAUCUCUGCCCCGGGUGCGUCGCAGCCCCGGACCAAGGCGCCCGCCGGAGGACCAACCAAAACUCUUAUUGUAUACCCCCUCGCGGGUUUUUUUAUAAUCUGAGCCUUCUCGGCGCCUCUCGUAGGCGUUUCGAAAAUGAAUCAAA
rnacentral:misc_RNA from 1 species